ACAAAUAUUACAAAAAUUAAAAUUAAUAAUAAAAAAUUACCUUUUCUUUUUUUCUUUUUCCUUCCUCCCCUCUUCUUCUUCUUCUUUUUUUUUUUCUCUUCUCAUUUCCUUUUCUUUCAUUCUUUUUCUUUCUUUUUUCUUCUUCUCCUUUCCUUUUCUUUCCUUCUUUUUCUUUCUUUCUUUCUUCUUCUUUCCCUCUCCUUCUCUUCCCCCCACCCACCAGCCGAAUGGUCCCCAUUAUAAGGGCAGUGCCGCCCAUGGGAAUGGCACCUUUGGUGCCGCCUAUCAGUGGCCUGUCAAAUCGACUGCAGCUUUUUUUUCUUUUUUCUACUUUUUGUUAUUUUUUGGUAUAUUUUGGUAAAUAAAAAAAUAUAUAAUAGUUUGGUUAUUUUUAAUUUCUUU
rnacentral:lncRNA from 1 species